UAGCAUAUCAAUAAGCGGAGGAAAAGAAACUAACAAGGAUUCCCCUAGUAACGGCGAGUGAAGUGGGAAAAGCUCAACUUUGAAAUCUGGCACCUUCGGUGUCCGAGUUGUAGUCUCAAGAAGUGUUUUCUGUGCUGGUCCAUGUAUGAGUCUGUUGGAACACAGCGUCAUAGAGGGUGACAACCCCGUUCAUGACAUGGAUACCAGUGCUUUGUGAUACACUCUCGAAGAGUCGAGUUGUUUGGGAAUGCAGCUCAAAUUGGGUGGUAAAUUCCAUCUAAAGCUAAAUAUUGGCGAGAGACCGAUAGCAAACAAGUACCGUGAGGGAAAGAUGAAAAGCACUUUGGAAAGAGAGUUAACAGUACGUGAAAUUGUUGAAAGGGAAACGAUUGAAGUCAGACGUGCGUGAUGCGGUUCAGCACUGGUUCGCCAGUGUGUAUUCCGUAUCUUUGCAGGCCAACAUCAGUUUCGGUAGUCGGAUAAAGGUUAGUUGAAUGUGGCACCCUCGGGUGUGUUAUAGCUUCUAACUGAAUACGAUUUCUGGGACUGAGGAACGCAGCGCGCCGCAAGGCAAAGGUUCCGACCUUUUCGCGCUUAGGAUGUUGGUGAAAUGGCUUUAAACGACCCGUCUUGAAACACGGACCAAGGAGUCUAACAUGCUUGCGAGUGUUUGGGUGGCAAACCCAUACGCGUAAUGAAAGUGAAUGGAGGUGGGAUCCUUUACCGGAGCACCAUCGACCGAUCCGGAUUUUUAAUGAAGGGUUUGAGUAAGAGCACGUAUGUUGGGACCCGAAAGAUGGUGAACUAUGCCUGAAUAGGGUGAAGCCAGAGGAAACUCUGGUGGAGGCUCGUAGCGGUUCUGACGUGCAAAUCGAUCGUCAAAUUUGGGUAUAGGGGCGAAAGACUAAUCGAACCAUCUAGUAGCUGGUUCCUGCCGA
rnacentral:rRNA from 1 species